UCAAAUGAAUUGACGGGGGCCCGCACAAGCGGUGGAGCAUGUGGUUUAAUUCGAUGCAACGCGAAGAACCUUACCUGGUCUUGACAUCCACGGAAGUUUUCAGAGAUGAGAAUGUGCCUUCGGGAACUGUGAGACAGGUGCUGCAUGGCUGUCGUCAGCUCGUGUUGUGAAAUGUUGGGUUAAGUCCCGCAACGAGCGCAACCCUUAUCCUUUGUUGCCAGCGGUCCGGCCGGGAACUCA
rnacentral:rRNA from 1 species